CACGUAGGUGGCAAGCGUUGUCCGGAAUUAUUGGGCGUAAAGCGCGCGCAGGCGGUCCUUUAAGUCUGAUGUGAAAGCCCCCGGCUCAACCGGGGAGGGUCAUUGGAAACUGGUGAACUUGAGUGCAGGAGAGGAAAGUGGAAUUCCACGUGUAGCGGUGAAAUGCUUAGAUAUGUGGAGGAACACCAGUGGCGAAGGCUACUGUCUGGUCUGUAACUGACACUGAGGCGCGAAAGCGUGGGGAGCAAACAGG
rnacentral:misc_RNA from 1 species